CACGGAGUUAGCCGGGGCUUAUUCUCCCGGUACUGUCAUUAUCAUCCCGGGUAAAAGAGCUUUACAACCCUAAGGCCUUCAUCACUCACGCGGCAUUGCUGGAUCAGGCUUUCGCCCAUUGUCCAAUAUUCCCCACUGCUGCCUCCCGUAGGAGUCUGGGCCGUGUCUCAGUCCCAGUGUGGCUGAUCAUCCUCUCAGACCAGCUAAGGAUCGUCGCCUUGGUAGGCCUUUACCCCACCAACUAGCUAAUCCUACGCGGGCUCAUCCUCGGGCGAUAAAUCUUUGAUCUCGCGAUAUCAUCCGGUAUUAGCAGUCGUUUCCAACUGUUAUCCCAGACCCAAGGGCAGAUUCCCACGCGUUACGCACCCGUGCGCCACUAUGCCCGAAAGCAUCGUUCGACUUGCAUGUGUUAGGCAUGCCGCCAGCGUUCGUUCUGAGCCAGGAUCAAACUCU
rnacentral:rRNA from 1 species